GAGUUUGAUCAUGGCUCAGAACGAACGCUGGCGGCAGGCCUCAAACAUGCAAGUCUAGGGGGUGUAGCAAUACAUCACCGGCGGACGGGUGCGUAACGCGUGGGAAUAUACCUAUUGGUUCGGAACAACUGAGGGAAACUUCAGCUAAUACCGAAUGUGUCCUAACGGAGAAAGAUUUAUCGCCAAUAGAUUAGCCCGCGUUCGAUUAGCUAGUUGGUGGGGUAACGGCUCACCAAGGCGACGAUCGAUAGCUGUUCUGAGAGGAAGAUCAGCCACACUGGGACUGAGACACGGCCCAGACUCCUACGGGAGGCAGCAGUUGGGAAUCUUGGACAAUGGGGGAAACCCUGAUCCAGCCAUGCCGCGUGAGUGAUGAAGGCCUUCGGGUUGUAAAACUCUUUCGCGCACGACGAUAAUGACGGUAGUGCGAGAAGAAGCUCCGGCUAACUUCGUGCCAGCAGCCGCGGUAAUACG
rnacentral:rRNA from 1 species